rnacentral:rRNA from 1 species
CAUUACCGAGUGAGGGUCCUCUG